rnacentral:lncRNA from 1 species
CUACGUACUGAUGAAAUCAUCCACUAGUAUAGAAAUUUUCAUCAGUUCUGGAAGUUGAUUUGGAAAACGGAUUUUUUUGUCACUGACAGUUUGAAAGAACGGAGAAGAGCCAGAGUUCUACGCACGAAUAUAUCAUCGAAUCUGAAGGAAGAAAAGCUGGAAGUGGGAGGGACUGCCGAUUUCCCACCAGAGUAGACAAUUUCUCGGCAGAGUGAAUGAGCAUACAACCCCAAUUCAACCGAGACACGACGAGCUUGGGGGAAGAAUUUUCAGCCCCCCUCCCCCCGUAGAAAGUGAAAACACUGGCUUCAAGAUUUUGUGGCCAUCGCUUGCAACGAGCUCUGGAGUACGUUUUCGGAAUUUGCGAAACGACGAGGUAGAAUCGAAUACAUCGUCGAAGAGCCCCGCUGGGAGGGACGUCAUCGCCGUCGUCGGCAGGGGGUUAAAGCGACGUUGGAAACGCUCUCGCUUUAAUCACCCCAGAUUGAGAUACUCCUCUCCUCUCUUCUCCUCUUCACACUUCUCUCUUCCUCUCUUCCCGACGAGUUUUACCCCUCGCCAGAGAUUUGGGAUUUGUCUCCUUCUCCCAUUCUCCCAUAGAAUUAACCCUCUUUCACCUUGCGUUAUACACCAUGUCACCUUUGCUCGGGUGUCUGGCAUUAUUCAUCCGAAAGUGGGACGACAAAAGUAGAAUUAAUCAGGUUAUCGAUAGACAAGAAAAACCGAAAAAUGAUUGAAAUAACAGAUAAAUUAAUACGAGAUAAAGAAUGAAACUAAUAAAGUACUGGUUACAUAUGGUAAAUGAGUUGACUGACCUACGAAAAUAAGUUGAAAGAAUAAAUAUUAAUCAAAUUUGGAGGAAUUUAGUAAAGCCUGAUCUAGAAUUUCUGUGAAUUUCAACUGAAAUCACUGUUGAAAGUGACCGUACCUUAUGCAUAGAAAUAUUGUACACGUAUAAUUAUUUUUUGACUAGAAACUGUAACUUGAAAAACUUUGAAAUGAUAAUUAUUGCAUUGGAAUUGACUCGAAUUUUGAGAAGUGAAGAUUUCAAAUGAUCGUGACUGCGGGAAUUUCAUUUUCCAAAAAUU